AGAGUUUGAUCAUGGCUCAGAUUGAACGCUGGCGGCAGGCCUAACACAUGCAAGUCGAACGGUAACAGGAAGCAGCUUGCUGCUUCGCUGACGAGUGGCGGACGGGUGAGUAAUGUCUGGGAAGCUGCCUGAUGGAGGGGGAUAACUACUGGAAACGGUAGCUAAUACCGCAUAAUGUCGCAAGACCAAAGAGGGGGACCUUCGGGCCUCUUGCCAUCGGAUGUGCCCAGAUGGGAUUAGCUUGUUGGUGGGGUAACGGCUCACCAAGGCGACGAUCCCUAGCUGGUCUGAGAGGAUGACCAGCCACACUGGAACUGAGACACGGUCCAGACUCCUACGGGAGGCAGCAGUGGGGAAUAUUGCACAAUGGGCGCAAGCCUGAUGCAGCCAUGCCGCGUGUAUGAAGAAGGCCUUCGGGUUGUAAAGUACUUUCAGCGGGGAGGAAGGGAGUAAAGUUAAUACCUUUGCUCAUUGACGUUACCCGCAGAAGAAGCACCGGCUAACUCCGUGCCAGCAGCCGCGAUAAUACGGAGGGUGCAAGCGUUAAUCGGAAUUACUGGGCGUAAAGCGCACGCAGGCGGUUUGUUAAGUCAGAUGUGAAAUCCCCGGGCUCAACCUGGGAACUGCAUCUGAUACUGGCAAGCUUGAGUCUCGUAGAGGGGGGUAGAAUUCCAGGUGUAGCGGUGAAAUGCGUAGAGAUCUGGAGGAAUACCGGUGGCGAAGGCGGCCCCCUGGACGAAGACUGACGCUCAGGUGCGAAAGCGUGGGGAGCAAACAGGAUUAGAUACCCUGGUAGUCCACGCCGUAAACGAUGUCGACUUGGAGGUUGUGCCCUUGAGGCGUGGCUUCCGGGGCUAACGCGUUAAGUCGACCGCCUGGGGAGUACGGCCGCAAGGUUAAAACUCAAAUGAAUUGACGGGGGCCCGCACAAGCGGUGGAGCAUGUGGUUUAAUUCGAUGCAACGCGAAGAACCUUACCUGGUCUUGACAUCCACGGAAGUUUUCAGAGAUGAGAAUGUGCCUUCGGGAACCGUGAGACAGGUGCUGCAUGGCUGUCGUCAGCUCGUGUUGUGAAAUGUUGGGUUAAGUCCCGCAACGAGCGCAACCCUUAUCCUUUGUUGCCAGCGGUCCGGCCGGGAACUCAAAGGAGACUGCCAGUGAUAAACUGGAGGAAGGUGGGGAUGACGUCAAGUCAUCAUGGCCCUUACGACCAGGGCUACACACGUGCUACAAUGGCGCAUACAAAGAGAAGCGACCUCGCGAGAGCAAGCGGACCUCAUAAAGUGCGUCGUAGUCCGGAUUGGAGUCUGCAACUCGACUCCAUGAAGUCGGAAUCGCUAGUAAUCGUGGAUCAGAAUGCCACGGUGAAUACGUUCCCGGGCCUUGUACACACCGCCCGUCACACCAUGGGAGUGGGUUGCAAAAGAAGUAGGUAGCUUAACCUUCGGGAGGGCGCUUACCACUUUGUGAUUCAUGACUGGGGUGAAGUCGUAACAAGGUAACCGUAGGGGAACCUGCGGUUG
rnacentral:rRNA from 1 species